rnacentral:rRNA from 1 species
UACGAAGGGUGCAAACGUUGCUCGGAAUUACUGGGCGUAAAGGGCUCGUAGGCGGCCAACUAAGUCAGACGUGAAAUCCCUCGGCUUAACCGGGGAACUGCGUCUGAUACUGGAUGGCUUGAGUUUGGGAGAGGGAUGCGGAAUUCCAGGUGUAGCGGUGAAAUGCGUAGAUAUCUGGAGGAACACCGGUGGCGAAGGCGGCAUCCUGGACCAUUACUGGCGCUGAGGAGCGAAAGCCAGGGGAGCAAACGGG